CAUGACUAAGCUCCUACAAACUUGGAUAGUGGUGUCAAUUCAGUUGAUUGGUAUUCUUAUAUAAUCUCUGCAAAAAAAAAGAAUUGAAGAACCAUUUCGAGCAGUGAACAGAUUCUCCAUCAAGAGUCAUCCCAUGGUUGUUCAAUCCCCAAUUUGCAAAUACAGGUAUCUACAUCAAAACAUUCAUCUUUGUAAUUACCCUUCGUAAACUCUUCACCUCCUUAAUCGUUCAUUCUUCCAAUCGUGAAAGCAUAGAAUCAUCCAUUUCCAAAUUGGAUCUUCAAGUGAUGAUAGACAUAAGAGAAAAAAGAGACCUUCUAAAAGAGAUCGACACAAGCGUGGUAAAAGGAGGGACAAGAGACAUGCGAAGAGGCGCAGGAAGCAUGAUAAGAAGUCCAAACGCAAAUCGAAAAGGGGGUCGGAUAGUGUUAGCGAGAGUGCAAGUGAAAAUGAACAUGGUUCUGAAGACAAUGGUGAUGCUAGGAAGCUAAAUCAGAAGCAUAAUAACUCGAUUAAUAUCACUGAUGGCAAUCAGUCUCCUUCAGAGUUCUGGUAUGUAACUGUAAUUUACAUUUUCUUUAUUCUUUUAAUUUUUUUACUUUUCUGU